UACAGAGGUCUCAAGCGUUGUUCGGAUUCAUUGGGCGUAAAGGGUGCGUAGGCGGCGCGGUAAGUCGGGUGUGAAAUCUCGGAGCUUAACUCCGAAACUGCAUUCGAUACUGCCGUGCUUGAGGACUGGAGAGGAGACUGGAAUUUACGGUGUAGCGGUGGAAUGCGUAGAUAUCGUAAGGAAGACCAGUGGCGAAGGCGGGUCUCUGGACAGUUCCUGACACUGAGGCACGAAGGCCAGGGGAGCAAACGGGG
rnacentral:rRNA from 1 species